AUAUGAGAAAGUCACACACGAAAUAUUAUGCGCGGUUCCUCACAUUGGCAUUAUUUCCAUGUGGCAUCAAGCACAUGCAUAAAGGGAUUGCAUCAAAGCGCACAGUUAAAAACGGGCAGAAACUGAAUAUUGAGUGACAGACAGCGUUAGUAGAAAGUGAGCGCGCGGUGGGGAAAUCGACCAAAACGCCUUUGGUGCGAGAUGUGCCUUCUGAAAAUCUGCGCUCAUGACGUCAGGAGUACUUUAACCAGCCGCGCGUGAGUGUUUAUAAACACUGACCGCGAGGACAGAGGAGUGAACAAGACCGAGGACGGGCGACGAUGAUGAUUUUGUUUAAUGAUAAAUGUCAGACGUUCUCUAUAGCAUAGAAACAUAGGUCAACUAACUUUUGAAACCAAGACCAGUCUUUGAUUCCAGACACCGUGGAGAGAAGUCUGGCAAGGCUGGACUGAGCUGAAGAGUGUCCCGAACAGUUGAGGUAUGGCAGUAGGUGGAUGGUGCCGCUGUGCCUGGGCGGGUCUCCUCAGCCUGCUGGUGUUCAGCUGGGGUGCCUGGACCCUCAACCCUGAUGACCCUAACGUGUGCAGCCACUGGGAGAGCUAUGCAGUGACGGUGCAAGAGUCCUACUCCCACCCGUUUGACCAGAUCUACUACACUCGCUGCACUGACAUCCUCACCUGGUUCAAGUGCACCAGACACAGGACCAGUUACAAGACAGCGUACCGGCGUGGUGUGAGGACCAUGUAUCGACGCCGCUCACAGUGUUGCCCCGGCUUCUACGAAAGUGGAGAGCUGUGUGUUCCCAGGUGUACAGAGGAGUGUGCUCACGGCCGCUGUGUUUCUCCAGAUACCUGCCAGUGUGAGCCAGGCUGGGGGGGCAGGGACUGCUCCAGCGGCUGUGAGCAGGGCCUCUGGGGCCCCCACUGCAGUAACCGCUGCCAGUGUCGCCAUGGUGCCCAGUGCAGCCCCAUCACAGGGGCGUGUGUGUGCACGGAGGGCUACCAGGGCUGGCGCUGUGAGAACACUUGCCAGCCCGGUCGAUACGGUAAUGGCUGCCUGCUGGAGUGCCACUGUCUGAACGGAGCGACGUGCCGGCACGACACCGGGCAGUGUGUGUGUGCUCCAGGGUACACCGGGCCCACCUGUGGUGAACCCUGUCCUGAUGGUAACCAUGGCACCCAGUGUGAGCAGCGUUGUCCCUGUCAGAACGGUGGAACGUGCCAUCACGUGACUGGGGUGUGCUCCUGCCCCCCAGGCUGGAUGGGCCCAAUGUGUGCACAGCCAUGUGCAUUUGGCAGCUAUGGUGUCAGCUGCAGCCAGCCAUGUUUGUGCCAGAACUCAGGCCUGUGUGACCAUAUCAGCGGGCUCUGCCAGUGCAGCGCUGGACACAUAGGAGACAGGUGUGAGGAGGAGUGUGUGUCCGGCUCCUUCGGCCCCCAGUGUGCUCUUCCGUGUGUUUGUCAGAACGGAGCAUCUUGCCACCCGGUGACGGGGGAAUGUCUGUGUGACGAGGGCUUCCAGGGGCCCCGCUGUGAGGCCCGGCUCUGCCGCUCUGGGCUCUAUGGACGCAGCUGUGACAGGUCCUGCCCCUGUAACUCCGACAACACCCUCAGCUGUAAUCCGUUGACGGGUGAGUGUUUGUGCUCUGCUGGGUGGGCGGGGCUUCACUGCAAUGAAACCUGCUCAUCUGGUUACCACGGCCAUGGCUGCAAGGAGCCAUGCGACUGUGCAAACGGGUCGGACUGUGACAGCAUCACCGGGGCCUGCAUCUGUGCUCCUGGAUACACGAGUGAGGACUGCUCCGCCCGCUGUCCGGAUGGUCUGUACGGGAUGAACUGCAGCUGGUCCUGCACCUGCAGCAACCUCUCCUCCUGCUCACAUGUAGACGGCUCCUGCGUCUGCACAGCAGGUUGGCAGGGUAUGGACUGCAGCCUAUCCUGUCCCAGUGGGACCUGGGGGCUGAGCUGUAACCAGACGUGUCUGUGUGCCAACGGCGCUGCAUGUGACCCCGUCACAGGCUCCUGUACCUGCGGCCCCGGCUGGAGGGACCAGUACUGCCACAUCCCCUGUCCUGAUGGUACCUACGGGCUGGACUGCCGAGAGAACUGUGACUGUAUCCAUGCCGACAGUUGUGACCCUGUGACUGGGACCUGUCACUGUCUGGCUGGCUGGACAGGAGUGCAGUGUGAGGGUGUGUGUGAGGGGGGCCGCUGGGGCUCCGGAUGCUCCUCCAGGUGUGACUGUGGAGACGAAGGCUCCUGCUUCCCGCAGGACGGCAGGUGUGUGUGUGCUCCUGGGUACCGAGGCUCCUCCUGCCAGCGCAAAUGUUCUCAAGGGUUCUACGGCCAGCGCUGCAGCCUGACCUGCCCCCCGUGUCUCCAUAGCGACGGGCCAUGCCACCACACCAGCGGACUCUGCGAGUGUCUCCCUGGAUACACCGGCUCCCUCUGCAACCAAGUGUGUCCAAGUGGCAGGUUUGGGAAGGACUGUGCUGAGGUGUGUGUGUGCACCAACAACAGCACCUGCAACCCCAUCGAUGGAUCUUGCCAGUGCUACCCUGGCUGGCAAGGAGAAGACUGCUCCCAAGUGUGUCCUGCAGGUUCCUGGGGUCCUUACUGCCUCCACAUGUGCAGCUGUCAUAACGAGGCCCAGUGCAGCACUACAGACGGACACUGCAGCUGUAGCGCAGGCUGGAAUGGACCGUACUGCACCCAGCGUUGUCCCCCAGGUUUCUAUGGGGAUGCGUGUGCGCAGGCAUGUCGCUGCCAGAAUGGAGCUGACUGCGAUCACAUCAGCGGAGUCUGCUCCUGCAGGACCGGAUUCAUAGGACCCAGCUGUGAACAGAAGUGUCCAGCGGGACUGUUUGGCUAUGGCUGCCAGCAGCUGUGUGAGUGUAUGAACAAUGCCAGCUGUGACUACGUGACUGGAACCUGCUACUGCAGCACCGGCUACAAGGGCAUCCGCUGUGACCAGGCUGCUGUGUGGAUGGAGGAGCUGAACCCGUACACCAAGAUCAGUCCUGCGCUGGCGUCGGCCCGUCGGUUUGUGGGCGCUGUGCUGGGGGUCAUCUUCCUCCUGCUCCUCAUCCUCACCUCGCUGGCUCUGGCCGUGUGGAGACGUCACCGCCGGCAGGAAAAGGAACACACACCCUGCGUCUCCUACACACCCACCCGGCCAGGAGACACGGAGCAGCCCUCCUCUGGUGUGUCUCCCAGCAGGAGCCUGUCUAGCUGCUCCAACCCCAGCUACCUGACUCUGGGCGCCUGCUCGUACGCGGGCCACUACACUCGGCCCGACAAGAAGACGUUCGCCAAGGUGAAGACUAAGAGAAGGUACCGGAACAGUGCCCCUGAGUGGGGAGCUUACUACAACCUGAACGAGCUGGACUACAUGAAGGGCUCCGUGUCCAGCUCCUGCUCCCAGGGCAGUGAGAACCCCUACGCCACCAUCCCUGAGCCCGCCGCCCGGCCCUCAGAGAGCAGCUACGCCCGGCCCUCAGAGAGCAGCUACGUGGAGAUGAAGUCUCCUGUCCACCACCUGCACCACCCAGACCUAUCCUGCUGCUCCUCCACUGUGGUCACCCACCCUGCCCUCACCCACCCUGCCCUCACCCACCCUGCCCUCAUCCACCCUGCCCUCACCUAUGCUAACACCUCUAAACCUGCUGCAGCUAGCAGAAACAUCUACAACCAGGAGCCGUCCGUCACCACCCUCCACCGGGCCGGUGGCUUGGUGGCAGCUGGCUACUUCCAGAGCCCCUAUGACCUGCCGAGGAAUAGCCACAUCCCUGCCCACUACGACCUGCUGCCUGUGCGCUUCAGCCCUGCACAUAGCCCUCCUCUGCCUACAGACUCCUCUAGCUCUGUGCUAUAGAGACUCUGUCUUUGACCCAAAAUGGCUUCUAGUAAUUAAUGCAACCGAGGACUAACUUUGUCACCGCGGCAACGGUGGUACAAAAAUAUUUAACACUUUUUAUUUAUUUCUGGUGGUCUGGAGAAUUUACCAAAAGUGAAGUGAAAGACAUUUGUUCACAUCCUGAGGUUUGUGUUGGGCACUCCAGCGCUUCUUAGCGGUAUGGCAGGAAGACUUUGGCCCAUGACGAGGGACAUCAAGAGACAGAUGUUGUGAUGAUGUCGUUACACUCAGAAUUGUCAUGCCUGAUUUCUAACUCAAACACAUUUGUGUGCAGCUCUUUAAUUGAACUCCAAUAUGAAAUAGCCAAUCAGAAGCAAGGAAUGCCUGAUGCCACUACAUACUGUGCAUCAUUAGGUAUCAGCAUGACCUCUGCAUGUCUGUCUGUGACCCUAAAGAACACACGCUGUUCUUCUGGUUCUGGUAUUUAUACAUUAUCUUAUUUUGUGUUAACUUUGCAUGUUUAAGAUCAAAACUGUCCUGUAAUGCCUUUUGGCAGACACAAUCUUGUGUAAGUCGAGAAAUGUAACAAAUAUUUACUGUGCAGUAGUUAUGUGAUUUCUUAGGACGUAAAGCUCAUGUGCAUGCGUUCCAGAUUAUAAAUCUGUUUAUCUGUUUUAUGGAGCAAUUCCGUCAUUGCUCCAUGUAUUAUUUGUAAAAACAGACUUUAUAUUCAUCCUAACCAUUUAAAGAUCCCAUGACAUGCUGUUUUUGGAUGCUUUUAUAUAGGCAUUAGUGGUCCCCUAAUACUGUAUCAGAAGUCUCUUUCCCGAAAUUCAGCCUUGGUGCAGAAUUACAGCCACUACGAGCAGUCCCACAAUGAGCUUUCCUCAGGACGUGCCGUUUCUGUGUCUGUAGCUUUAAAUGCUAUGAGGAAGAAAGAGGCGGGGCUAACUGCCAUCCUUCGUCGUUUGCAAGCCAUGAUGUCUCGAGGAAAAAACAAUAUCACGCUCGCACGGUCGUAGCUCAUUUUCUCAUUGGUGGGCCAAAUUCUCUGUGCGGGCAAAGCAGUGAAAGGGGAGGUAACCUUCCUCCUUAUGACGACAUAAGGAAAGGAUUUUUCUUCUCCGCCUUUGAGAAAAUGAAAUCUGAAACGCUCGGUUUUAAAAAUCCUCUCCUGGCUUGGUUUACACCUAUCGAAAUGUAUAGCCACUGGGGACCAAAGGCAGGCUAUGGGAACUCAUAUUAAUGUUAAAUAACCUCCUAAAGUCAACAUUUGAUGUCAUGGGACCUUUAAACAACUGGCUGAAAAUAUUGUUUCUUUCUGGUACAGAUUAAAGAAUUGCUAUUAAAUUUAUAGAAAUUUACAAUUUUUCAUACUUUUUAAGGCUUUCAAUAAAAUUACUGUGGUGUUAUCUUAGUUUGUGUACUGGCAACACCAUCAUUUUUU